rnacentral:rRNA from 1 species
AUGUCUAUUAAUAAAGCUAAUGCCAACUCUGCCUCUGGCCCGGAUGGCUUCUCUAUUCCUUUCUUUAAAACUUUUUGGCCUCAGCUUAAGGCGCUUAUUUGCACGACUAUUCAAGGGUUCUAUUUGGGGACAGUGGACAUCUCUAGACUUAAUUAUGCCGUGAUCUCUCUCAUUCCUAAAGUCAAGGGUGCGGAGCUCAUCUCCCAGUUUAGGCCCAUUGCUCUGAUCAAUAAUUUUGCCAAGUUCCCUGCCAAAUGUUUGGCCACUCGCCUUACUCCAGUGGCUCACCGCACCCUUCCUCUUAAUCAAUCUGCCUUUGUCAAAUGUCAUUUUAUCCUUGAUGGGGUCCUCUACCUGCAUGAGAUCAUCCAUGAUAUCCACAAAUCAGGUAGCAAGGCAGUUAUUCUUAAGUUGGACUUUGAAAAGGCCUAUGAUUCUGUGAGCUGGGGCUUCUUAAGGCAAGUUCUUCUGUCCAAGGGCUUUGAUGGUGGCGUUGUCCAUAGAAUCAUGCAAAUGGUCUCGGGGGGCCACACUACUAUUUCUGUCAAUGGGAAGGUUAGCAACUUCUUUAAGAACUCUAGAGGCCUCAAACAAGGAGACCCGGCUUCCCCCGUCCUUUUUAACUUUGUUGCGGAUGCUCUCUCUAAUAUUUUGUCCAGAGCCAUGAGGGCUGGACACAUUACUCCAGUGAGCUCCCAUCUCAUCCCUCAAGGGAUUACUCAUCUUCAGUACACUGAUGAUAUGAUUAUUAUGGUGGAACUUAAUUAUCCGUGCCUCUCCCACCUCAAGUUUCUUCUUCUUUGCUUCGAGGCACUUUCUGGUUUAAAAAUUAACUUCUCAAAAAGUGAAGUGAUCAUUAUUGGAGUUUCGGAUACCGAGGCCUUGUGUGUAUGGUGUAUCCCACUUGCUGAAUUGUUCUCUUGGCUCUUUCCCUCUAAAGUAUCUUGGCCUACCUAUUUCUUCUGA